rnacentral:rRNA from 1 species
UACAGAGGGUGCGAGCGUUGUCCGGAAUUACUGGGCGUAAAGGGCGCGUAGGCGGCUUGAUAAGUAGGAGGUGAAAUUCCAUGGCUCAACCAUGGAUCGGCCUUCUAGACUGUCAGGCUUGAGCACGGUAGAGGCAGAUGGAAUUCCCGGUGUAGCGGUGGAAUGCGUAGAGAUCGGGAAGAACACCAGUGGCGAAGGCGGUCUGCUGGGCCGUUGCUGACGCUGAGGCGCGACAGCGUGGGGAGCAAACAGG